rnacentral:rRNA from 1 species
GACGAACGCUGGCGGCGUGCUUAACACAUGCAAGUCGAGCGGUAAGGCCCUUUCGGGGGUACACGAGCGGCGAACGGGUGAGUAACACGUGGGUGACCUGCCCUUAGCUCUGGGAUAAGCCUGGGAAACUGGGUCUAAUACCGGAUAUGACUCCAUGACGCAUGUUGUGGGGUGGAAAGCCUUGUGCGGCUAGGGAUGGGCCCACGGCCUAUCAGCUUGUUGGUGGGGUGANGGCCUACCAAGGCGACGACGGGUAGCCGGCCUGAGAGGGCGACCGGCCACACUGGGACUGAGACACGGCCCAGACUCCUACGGGAGGCAGCAGUGGGGAAUCUUGCGCAAUGGGCGAAAGCCUGACGCAGCGACGCCGCGUGGGGAUGACGG